rnacentral:rRNA from 1 species
GAUGAACGCUGGCGGCGUGCCUAAUACAUGCCAGUCGAGCGAACGGACGAGAAGCUUGCUUCUCUGAUGUUAGCGGCGGACGGGUGAGUAACACGUGGAUAACCUACCUAUAAGACUGGGAUAACUUCGGGAAACCGGAGCUAAUACCGGAUGAUAUUUUGAACCGCAUGGUUCAAAAGUGAAAGACGGUCUUGCUGUCACUUAUAGAUGGAUCCGCGCUGCAUUAGCUAGUUGGUAAGGUAACGGCUUACCAAGGCAACGAUGCAUAGCCGACCUGAGAGGGUGAUCGGCCACACUGGAACUGAGACACGGUCCAGACACCUACGGGAGGCAGCAGUAGGGAAUCUUCCGCAAUGGGCGAAAGCCUGACGGAGCAACGCCGCGUGAGUGAUGAAGGUCUUCGGAUCGUAAAACUCUGUUAUUAGGGAAGAACAUAUGUGUAAGUAACUGUGCACAUCUUGACGGUACCUAAUCAGAAAGCCACGGCUAACUACGUG